AUGGCUGUAACCACUGCUGGUGGCGAGAGUCACCUGUUCAAUUGGUGCAUUUAUUGUCCUGAUGGUUGGACUCAAGUCGGUAGUCGCUGCUUUAUCUACAAUCAAAACCCCAUGAGUUGGGAUUCUGCUAAGAGACACUGCUGGGAGUUGGGGGCAAACCUUGCAUCAGUGCACACUUAUUGGGAGCACCAAAGGAUUAUUCAACUGUUUGGCAACUGGCCAGCUUGGAUUGGAGGCAGCAAAGGACCCAAGGGUAAUUGGUGGUGGAAUGAUGGGACCAGUUUCUCCUUUUCAUAAUGGUGCUGGGGAGAGCCAAGCAAUGGUUACUAUGAGAACUGUCUGCAGAUGAGUUCUCGAGAGUGAAGUUUUGUUCCACUGUUUCCUGGACUGAAGCUCAUUCUAGUCUGCGUGUGGAUCAUUGCAGAGGCUGCUCCAUUGGAGGGUGUUUUUAUCUACAGACGGUCAUUCUGGGUCUCGUGUCACAGAUACUAAACAUCACCAUGAAGAAGCUGACUGCAUCUGCAAUUUUCUGUGCUAUAAUAGCUCUGACCAUGGCUGCUGAGACCAAAGAUGGGGCAGAGGAAUCUUUGGCACCAGGUAAGUGACAUUUUGUACAUACACCAAAAUUGAGAGAAACACCACCUCAAUGUUUGUACUGUAGUGUCUCUUCCACAGCAUGUUUUUGUCCUUUCUGCCUCCCCUCAUCCCUAAUCAGUUGUGGCAGAUGUCUACCCCUCCCUGAGCUUGUUUCUGCCAGAGCGUUCUUCUCAUCAAAAGGGAGUUUUACCUUCGCACUAUCGCCAGGUGCUUGCUCAAAUGGGGUCAUUUGGUUUUCUCUGUGUUAUUGUAGGGUAUUACAAUAUAUAGCACCUUGAUGGAGCUGUCCCAGUGUUAUAUAAAUAAAACUGAAUUGAACUGAGCUGAAUUCUAAUAUAAAUGGUGUAUUCAAGGAUCUGGAUAUUUUAAAGGUGAUACUUGAAUCACAAGUUGAUCAGGCCUUGCCAUCAGGGUCCUUCAGCUUUGUUUAACCUUCCUGCUUGUCUUCCUGUUGUAAUUUACCUUCUUCCCUGAUAUUGUUUGUUUGUGAAAUCACUUUGUAUUUUUUCAAGACAACUGAGAAGUUAAUAUUGUUAUAAUUAGAAUAAUGUCAUAAUAAUUACAGAGCUUACAGUUGCAUGCAUAGAACUAAAAUCUAUAACGCUGAGAAAGCCAGAAUGCCCUACAUUUUGUAUGCAUACGUGCAGCUGUAAACUGUCAAUCACUUAACUAAUGUUUCAUUGUGAAAUUGUUACUUGUACAACUUUAGUUAUUGUUUCAGUUCAGUUAAUGGACAAAGACAAAGAGACUCAAUAAAAGUUUCUA